GACGAACGCUGGCGGCGUGCCUAAUACAUGCAAGUAGAACGCACAGUUUAUACCGUAGCUUGCUACACCAUAGACUGUGAGUUGCGAACGGGUGAGUAACGCGUAGGUAACCUGCCUGGUAGCGGGGGAUAACUAUUGGAAACGAUAGCUAAUACCGCAUAAUAUUAAUUAUUGCAUGAUAAUUGAUUGAAAGAUGCAACUGCAUCACUACCAGAUGGACCUGCGUUGUAUUAGCUAGUAGGUGAGGUGACGGCUCACCUAGGCGACGAUACAUAGCCGACCUGAGAGGGUGAUCGGCCACACUGGGACUGAGACACGGCCCAGACUCCUACGGGAGGCAGCAGUAGGGAAUCUUCGGAAAUGGACGAAAGUCUGACCGAGCAACGCCGCGUGAGUGAAGAAGGUUUUCGGAUCGUAAAGCUCUGUUGUAAGAGAAGAACGGGUGUGAGAGUGGAAAGUUCACACUGUGACGGUAUCUUACCAGAAAGGGACGGCUAACUACGUG
rnacentral:rRNA from 1 species